rnacentral:lncRNA from 1 species
AACCAAUAUGGUACAUUAUAUUUUGAUUAGGUCACUAGUCAAUUCAUGCAAACCCAUGCCAUUAAGAUGAAUCAGUGUGACUGAUUUAGGUGUCUUUAGAUUAGCUUGUGUCUAAUCCCCUACAUGACUUGAUAAAAUCAGUAGAAGGAUUUGUAGCUUGCAGGUCAACUUUUUCUCUUAUUUUAAGUCAAUAAAAUUAAUUUUUUAAAUUAUUAGGUCAAUAAAAUGAUAGAGUUAUGAGAUUACUUGAUCAUAGACUCCCAUUAAACUGCGUGAUAAUGAGUCUAAUAUUUCAAAUAAG